UACGGAGGGAGCUAGCGUUGUUCGGAAUUACUGGGCGUAAAGCGCACGUAGGCGGCUUUUUAAGUCAGGGGUGAAAUCCCGGGGCUCAACCCCGGACCUGCAUUCGAUACGGGCAGACUAGAGUCGGUAGGGGAGUCGUGGAAUUCCUGGUGUAGCGGUGGAAAUGACGCAGAUAUCAGGAGGAACACCGGUGGCGAAGGCGGGACUCUGGGCCGAUACUGACGCUGAGGAGCGAAAGCGUGGGGAGCGAACAGG
rnacentral:rRNA from 1 species